rnacentral:lncRNA from 1 species
GAAUAAAGCUACAGAAACCUUUUGCAGAAAGCUGAGUCCUUGCCUAAUUAUUAUAACCCAUUGUCUUACAAACCUUGGGCAUUAGUCAAGGCGAAUUGAUUAUUGAUUAUUAUCAUCAAGAUAUAAAAUUCUUUUAACAGUCUCUCACAUGGAUUAAUACUGGAGAAUGAGGGCUCGGUCGCCUUCUUAAUUGAGGGAUCCCCUAACCAAAUCACUGUAAAGGAUCAGACCUUUUUCCUGUGACAGACGCAAAAUUGCCAUAUUGUACAAUAUUUUACUGCAGAGAAUCUUGAGCCUUCAUGCUCCAGGUUUAGGUAAUGUGGGAGACCGAGGUCUCCCUCUGCCUCUUCAGAUGACAGAUCCCCCUCACCAAAGCACUGCAAAGGCUCAGACCCCUUUCCUAUCCUCGAAGCAAAAUUUCACAAAAAGAGUCUUACAUCUCCUUUGUGUGAUCUGUGACCUUCUUAAAGGACAGCGCCCAAGUCUGGUUGAGAAAUUCAACUUCAACCUGAACGAGACAGAGAAAGAUUUACUAAAGAUGGAAGAGCAGCUAACGGACAACGAUUUUCAAAAAUGCAUGAUAUCUUAGGUCUCAAAGCUGAGGGGUAAAGACAUCCCAGACUGGGUGAAGAGAACAAUGCAUUGAACACUGACAAACGGCCUUGUGUUCUAUGCAGAACCCUGACAAACGGCCUUGUGUUCUAUACAGAACCUUGGCAAACGGCCUUGUGUUCUAUACAGAACCCUGACAAAUGGCCUCAUGUCAACAACGACUAUGAAAGGUAACAAAUGGAAAAGGGCCUUUGAGGACUCCAACAUUUGCAGUGUCAUUAUAGCAUGUAUGAGUCUUGGCGAAUCAAAGGCUACAGAGGCAGAUAUAUUACAGGCGAUGUCAACCUGCCUGAAAUAUGCACCUGGCCGCAAGGGGGCCAGUGGGAGGGCCAAUGAGAGUUCUUAAGAAGUUAAAGCAUCAAAGCCUGUUCUGACAGUGCAUUUUUUUGGUUUAUUGUAUAUCUGAUUUUGGUUUCCAGAAGCCUGUGGCAGAAAUUAAUUUUUUGGCUUAUAUAUUUUAUUUUUUUAUCGGCUUUUACAUUUAUUUUUUUUGUAUUUGUUUUUACAUGGACAAAGGUUUACACAAUGCUGUUCAAAGCUACAGCUCUAACUGUGUUACACAGAAUGACAAUAGCCUACAGUAAUAUAGACCCUAAAUCUGGAAGAUACAUUUUGCACCGUGAGAAGAAUUGUAUUAUUCAUAUCAGGGUACUUUUCAAGAGUGUGCAACAUCAGAAAGGUCCUAGUCCUAGCUUGUUUUCCUAUUCUUAGCUCAGCCUAGGGUUAUGUAAAGAGCCCUACAUCACAAAAUGGCAACUGCUCCAAUAUUUAAAUGGAGUUGAUUUAUUAGUCAAGUAUAGUUUUCAAUCUCUAAAGUACCUAAAUAAAAAAUAAAAAACAGUUGGCUGUCUUUUUGAGUGGGUGAAUAAAGGUUGAAAUCUCAUUGAUCAAUGUCUCAACCAAAUAUUACCCAAAUGUCCACAUUUGAAAUGACUGCUCAUUCAGAAAAAAAGACACCAUAAAUGUUUCAAAACAUCUUCACCAUCAAAAUAAACAACUUUAAAGUGGCC